GACGAACGCUGGCGGCGUGCUUAACACAUGCAAGUCGAACGGUAAGGCCCUUCGGGGUACACGAGUGGCGAACGGGUGAGUAACACGUGGGUGAUCUGCCCUGCACUUCGGGAUAAGCCUGGGAAACUGGGUCUAAUACCGGAUAGGACCACUGCCUGCAUGGGUGGUGGUGGAAAGCUUUUGCGGUGUGGGAUGGGCCCGCGGCCUAUCAGCUUGUUGGUGGGGGGGUGGCCUACCAAGGCGACGACGGGUAGCCGGCCUGAGAGGGUGACCGGCCACACUGGGACUGAGAUACGGCCCAGACUCCUACGGGAGGCAGCAGUGGGGAAUAUUGCACGAUGGGCGCAAGCCUGAUGCAGCGACGCCGCGUGAGGGAUGACGGCCUUCGGGUUGUAAACCUCUUUCAGCAUCGACGAAGCGAAAGUGACGGUAGGUGCAGAAGAAGGACCGGCCAACUACGUGCCAGCAGCCGCCGUAA
rnacentral:rRNA from 1 species